AAUCCUGGCUCAGGAUGAACGCUAGCUACAGGCUUAACACAUGCAAGUCGAGGGGCAGCAUUUUAGUUUGCUUGCAAACUGAAGAUGGCGACCGGCGCACGGGUGAGUAACACGUAUCCAACCUGCCGAUAACUCCGGAAUAGCCUUUCGAAAGAAAGAUUAAUACCGGAUGGCAUACGAAUAUCGCAUGAUAUUUUUAUUAAAGAAUUUCGGUUAUCGAUGGGGAUGCGUUCCAUUAGUUUGUUGGCGGGG
rnacentral:rRNA from 1 species